CAGCUAAGAGACUAGGGGAAGCUGCACAGAAUAAUAAAGUUUGGCUUCUCAGUCCUCCAAAAGGCAGAGGGACCCUGGCACAAAGGUGAGGUUUAGAAGCUAAAGGUGGGGUUCAGCCCAUGCUCUGCCACUGCCCCUCUAUCUAAAUGACCUCCCCUCACUCUAGAGUGAUGGUAAGCCCCAUACUCAGGUGCCCGGAGACCUGGGUCCACAUCCUGCUUCCUCCUCGUCUGAGCUAUGCUGCCUUAAGUUCGUGAUGUAACCUUCUGUACCCCAGUUUUCCCAUCUGAGAAACUAGGAUAACGAUAGAUAGCAUGGCUGUGAGAAUCAGCAACCUUCAUGUACGUCAAGAUUUUGGAACAACAUCUGGCACAAAAAUGUCAACUCCAGGAGGGCGGAGACCUCAACUCCUUAUUCCCGGAGAUGUCCCGUGUCCCAGCACAGUGCCUGCACGUGGACGAUCAUGUAACAUUGCUUUUUGCAAUUGGAAGAAAAAGUCAUAAAAAAUGGAUAAGCCCUUAUUUGUAACCGCUGAAACUUGGAAGCAACCAACACAUCCUUGGAAUGUCAGCUCUGCAAGCUGGGGCUUUCUGUCUGUCUUGUUCGGAGCUGUCUUUCCCUGUCCUCACCGGAACAGUGUGAAAAGGUGGAAUUGAAUUAAUCUCCUGGGGACACAGAAGUGGAAGUGACCUUGAAAGAGAAAUUUCAUCUGUCCCCCUGCCGCCAUGCUGGACUUGGUGGCCUGUGUGGAUGU